UACGAAGGGGGCUAGCGUUGUUCGGAUUUACUGGGCGUAAAGCGCACGUAGGCGGAUCGUUAAGUCGGGGGUGAAAUCCUGGAGCUCAACUCCAGAACUGCCUUCGAUACUGGCGAUCUCGAGUCCGGAAGAGGUGAGUGGAACUCCUAGUGUAGAGGUGGAAUUCGUAGAGAUCGGGAAGAAUACCCGUGGCGAAGGCGGCCAGCUGGGCCAGGUCCGACACUGAGGCGCGAAAGCGUGGGGAGCAAACAGG
rnacentral:rRNA from 1 species